rnacentral:rRNA from 1 species
GUGAGUGAAGAAGGGUUUCGGCUCGUAAAACUCUGUUGUUAAAGAAGAACAUAUCUGAGAGUAACUGUUCAGGUAUUGACGGUAUUUAACCAGAAAGCCACGGCUAACUACGUGCCAGCAGCCGCGGUAAUACGUAGGUGGCAAGCGUUGUCCGGAUUUAUUGGGCGUAAAGCGAGCGCAGGCGGUUUUUUAAGUCUGAUGUGAAAGCCUUCGGCUCAACCGAAGAAGUGCAUCGGAAACUGGGAAACUUGAGUGCAGAAGAGGACAGUGGAACUCCAUGUGUAGCGGUGAAAUGCGUAGAUAUAUGGAAGAACACCAGUGGCGAAGGCGGCUGUCUGGUCUGUAACUGACGCUGAGGCUCGAAAGUAUGGGUAGCAAACAGGAUUAGAUACCCCGGUAGU